rnacentral:rRNA from 1 species
AGCAGCAGCCACGGGAAUACAGAGGGUGCGAGCGUUAAUCGGAUUUACUGGGCGUAAAGCGUGCGUAGGCGGCUAAUUGAGUCGGAUGUGAAAUCCCCGAGCUUAACUUGGGAAUUGCAUUCGAUACUGGUUAGCUAGAGUGUGGGAGAGGAUGGUAGAAUUCCAGGUGUAGCGGUGAAAUGCGUAGAGAUCUGGAGGAAUACCGAUGGCGAAGGCAGCCAUCUGGCCUAAUACUGACGCUGAGGUACGAAAGCAUGGGGAGCAAACAGGAUUAGAUACCCCUGUAGUCCCUGUCUCUUAUAC